rnacentral:lncRNA from 1 species
GCCGGGGCUCGAUACCCAGGCAGUCCAGCCAGGACCUGCCAUCCAGGUGCCAGGCCAGGGCGAGGGGUCAGGGAAUGUUUUCCAGGGAAAGAUCUUGACUCAUAGGAACUGUACAUGGAGACGGAAUCAAGGGGAAAGGGCCCGGCCCAACACCACCGCUGGCUGCUCCUUCUCCAUCCCUGUCCGAGUCUGUCCUUCAGAAACGCCCUGUUGUUUCUAGAAAGUGACAACAAACAGGCCAAAGGUGGGGAUCUGCGGCUCGGCUGACCGAGAGCUGCAGAGGUGGGUCCGGCCAGCCCCGUUUCACUGGCAUCCUCUCCUCUCCGCCCACCUCCCUGGACCACCUUCAUCCCUGGCCCCACAUCCCAUCCACGGAGCCAGAGGAAAAGCGUGGGGCCUUCUGGGAGCUCCCUCGGAGGGGAGGGGAGGAGCCUCUUUCCCAGAAACCCUGGGAAAAACCUGGGGUUUCAUUGGCCUGAGCUGGUCACGUGCCCUUCCCUGAACCAAUCACGUGCCAGCAGGAAGGGGAAGGUGACUGCUUAAGCCAAUCAGGCCCCACCCUGGAGCUGUGGGAGGGUCAUUCAGACCACGUGACUGAGAGGGGACUCGGCGGUUCCCAGAGGAGAGUCUGCUGGGCUGGGUGGGAGGAGGUGGGAUGGAAGCUGGGGGCAGCGAACUACCGAGACGGAGAGCGCCGCCUGAGAUGGUUAAUCAUGACGUCGGAUCAAUGUGCAGUCCUCCCUGCGCUCCGCCCCGCCUCCCAGGGUCUCCUUCUCUACCUGCUGGCCUGAGAGCACCUUGUGGCUGGCAGCCAGAUCUGCCCCCUCCCAAUUCAGCCUUGCCCCAGCCAGUUUCCGCAAAAUUCAGACACACACCUACUGUAAGACCCAGCCGUCAUCUUCCCAGGGAUUCACCUGUCACAGAAGGAAGCAUUUGCUCAUGCAAAAGCUUUAUACAGCGGUUCAUGCACAUGGCUGGGGAAAAUCGCACCGGGGGACUGAUAAUGAGAAGUAGUGACUCCCUGGACCUCUCGGCCUGAGCUCCGUGCAUCAGGGAAGCAGCCACUGCGGGACCCACAGCAGACCCGGCCGUCCACGACCGGCCAUUCGCCACGUCCAGUCACAUCCUGGGGAGCUGUUUCUGCAGAGAUGGUCCAUGGCGCGGGUGGUCUGUGUCGCGGUGCCUGAGUGAGCAGAUGUGCGGCUCAGAGAGAGAGAUGCCCUGGGCUCCCCACCUCCUGGCUGUUCCUCAUGCUUCUCCCUCCAUCUGCACA